GUUUAUUGGUUUGCCAGUUGACCCCGCAACAUUCCUGCACGUCUGGUAUCCUGAAAGGCGAGUUGGCGGAGUUCCAUUCGUACCCUUUCCAAAACCGAAGACCCAGUAUGAAAAAUGCCUUCGAUGGAUCAAACUUUGUGGAAGACCGCGUGAUCAACUGAAUCCAUCUAAUAUCAACCGGAACACAUAUGUUUGCACGGAGCCACAUUUCUCGGAAUCAUUUUGCAACGUCAGCAAAUCAAAGCUCGUGAAAGCGCUGCGAGUGGAACGCUGACGACGAGACGCGCGACAAAAACGAAAGCAGAACCAAAGAAGCCGGCUCGC